CGCUGGCGGCAGGCCUAACACAUGCAAGUCGAGCGGGUAACAUUUCUAGCUUGCUAGAAGAUGACGAGCGGCGACGGGUGAGUAACGCGUAGAAAUCUACCUAGUAGUGGGGGAUAGCCCAGAGAAAUUUGGAUUAAUACCGCAUACGCCUACGGGGGAAAGCGGGGGAUCUUCGGACCUCGUGCUAUUAGAUGAGUCUGCGUCGGAUUAGCUUGUUGGUGAGGUAAUGGCUCACCAAGGCGACGAUCCGUAGCUGGUCUGAGAGGAUGACCAGCCACACUGGAACUGAGACACGGUCCAGACUCCUACGGGAGGCAGCAGUGGGGAAUAUUGCACAAUGGGCGCAAGCCUGAUGCAGCCAUACCGCGUGUGUGAAGAAGGCCUUAGGGUUGUAAAGCACUUUCAGCAGUGAGGAAAGGGGUGUCGUUAAUAGCGCCAUCCUGUGACGUUAACUGCAGAAGAAGGACCGGCUAACUCCGUG
rnacentral:rRNA from 1 species